rnacentral:rRNA from 1 species
CAGGACGAACGCUGGCGGCGUGCUUUACACAUGCAAGUCGAACGAUGAAGUUCCUUCGGGAAUGGAUUAGUGGCGAACGGGUGAGGAACACGUGAGAAAUCUGCCCUUCAUUUUGGGAUAACUCCGGGAAACCGGGNCUAAUACCAAAUACUCCAUCCCGGUGGCAUCACUGGGCUGGGAAAGAAUUUCGAUGAANGUUGAUCUCNCGGCCUAUCAGCUAGUUGGUGAGGUAAUGGCUCACCAAGGCAACGACGGGUAGCCGGCCUGAGAGGGCGACCGGCCACACUGGGACUGAGACACGGCCCAGACUCCUACGGGAGGCAGCAGUGGGGAAUAUUGGGCAAUGGGCGCAAGCCUGACCCAGCGACGCCGCGUGAGGGAUGAAGGUCUUCGGAUUGUAAACCUCUUUCANUGGGGAAGAANCGAAAGUGACGGUACCCAAAGAAGAAGCACCGGCUAACUAUGUGCCAGCAGCCGCGGUAA